rnacentral:rRNA from 1 species
UCAUUAACUGAAUCCAUAGGUUAAUGAGGCGAACCGGGGGAACUGAAACAUCUAAGUACCCCGAGGAAAAGAAAUCAACCGAGAUUCCCCCAGUAGCGGCGAGCGAACGGGGAGGAGCCCAGAGCCUGAAUCAGCAUGUGUGUUAGUGGAAGCGUCUGGAAAGGCGCGCGAUACAGGGUGACAGCCCCGUACACAAAAGCGCAUGUGCUGUGAGCUCGAUGAGUAGGGCGGGACACGUGGUAUCCUGUCUGAAUAUGGGGGGACCAUCCUCCAAGGCUAAAUACUCCUGACUGACCGAUAGUGAACCAGUACCGUGAGGGAAAGGCGAAAAGAACCCCGGCGAGGGGAGUGAAAAAGAACCUGAAACCGUGUACGUACAAGCAGUGGGAGCCCCACCACCAAAGCAUUUGCUGUACCGCGUUGACGGAGCGAAGCGACGUCAAACCGAUAAAACAGCAGUGUAAAGUGAGCCGCAGGGCGC